rnacentral:rRNA from 1 species
GAGUUUGAUCCUGGCUCAGAUUGAACGCUGGCGGCAGGCCUAACACAUGUAAGUCGAGCGGAUGAAGGGAGCUUGCUCCUGGAUUCAGCGGCGGACGGGUGAGUAAUGCCUAGGAAUCUGCCUGGUAGUGGGGGAUAACGUCCGGAAACGGGCGCUAAUACCGCAUACGUCCUGAGGGAGAAAGUGGGGGAUCUUCGGACCUCACGCUAUCAGAUGAGCCUAGGUCGGAUUAGCUAGUUGGUGGGGUAAAGGCCUACCAAGGCGACGAUCCGUAACUGGUCUGAGAGGAUGAUCAGUCACACUGGAGCUGAGACACGGUCCAGACUCCUACGGGAGGCAGCAGUGGGGAAUAUUGGACAAUGGGCGAAAGCCUGAUCCAGCCAUGCCGCGUGUGUGAAGAAGGUCUUCGGAUUGUAAGCACUUUAAGUUGGGUAGGAAGGGCGAGUAAGUUAAUACCUUGCUGUUUGACGUUACCAACAGAAUAAGCA